rnacentral:rRNA from 1 species
AGCUCCAAUAGCGUAUAUUUAAGUUGUUGCAGUUAAAAAGCUCGUAGUUGGAUUUCGGGCGGAGCCUGCCGGUCCGCCUCACGGUGUGCACUGGCAUGGUCCCGCCUCGCUGUCGGGGACGGGCUCCUGGGCUUCGCUGUCCGGGACCCGGAGUCGACGAGGUUACUUUGAGUAAAUUAGAGUGUUCAAAGCAGGCCUACGCUCUGAAUACGUUAGCAUGGAAUAACACGAUAGGACUCUGGCCUAUCUUGUUGGUCUGUGGGACCGGAGUAAUGAUUAAGAGGGACGGUCGGGGGCAUUCGUAUUUCAUUGUCAGAGGUGAAAUUCUUGGAUUUAUGAAAGACGAACUUCUGCGAAAGCAUUUGCCAAGGAUGUUUUCA